ensembl:lncRNA LUCAT1 lung cancer associated transcript 1
GAGUAGCUGGGACUACAGGCGCCCGCCACCACACCCAGGAAUCCAACUUGCUGUUUGCUAUCACAUGUGCUAUACAUGCUGUUGAUGAAACUGCUAAAGGGGCUGAAUGUGACUGACGUCUUUGGAAGGAUGAGACUUAGCGUGCCUGUACAGUUGUGUCCAAAUGCUGUCCUCAUCUCCCAAUGAAAAGGUAUUGUAAAUAAAGAGAAAGAUCAGAGGCUUAUUUUAAACACUAAAUAUGAGCUAGGAGCUGUCCUAGACACUAUGUAAAAGUUUUAUUUAGUUCUCACUGUAAUGUUGGCCUUAUGUUAGCAUCCCAUUUUUCAGACUGAGGAAAUUAUGGCUCAGAGAGGUUAAGAGACUUAUUGAAGGUCACACAGCUCCACAAACUUUGGUGUAGAUUGAACGUGUACAUGGGUCUAUGUGACUUUGAAUCUUGCAUUCUUUACAUUAUUGGAAUAUUUCACAGAAGGAAAAUGACAUAUUAACAUGGCAAUAAGAUUUCUGGUUCCAGUCUGGUUACUGGUCUUCCAAGAGUGUUAUAGGAUGUAUAGCCUGAGCUCUGAAGCUUUGUUCUGAAGCAUGCUAUCAAUAUGAACAAAUUGGUAUGGAAGGAAGCCACAAAUUAUAUACUAAAAUCUAGUUCAUCAGAGGAAAAUAUAGUUAAAUACAUUUACAUUCCCAGAACUGUUAAUAUUGAAGAAUAAAACACACAGUGGGAAAGAGACGAAGAGAAAAUACGCCUGUUUUUAUGACUUGUUGAUAUCUACAGGGUUUUUCCUUAAGCCUCACAACAAUUUACAGCAUUGCCAGCAGCAUUCAGUACAUUCAGAACAGGAUAAUUUCACCCGCAGCUGAACUAGGGCCAUGCCUGGGACAGACAGAGAAUGGCCUUCCAGCAGACAUGCCAAGAAGCAAGCCAGGGUCAGUGAGUGAAGAGGAGGGCAGGCCCAUUUGAAGCAACACAGUUUAUCAAGGAGUCUUUAGCAACAUGAAAACGAACGUGUGUUAUUUGCAAACCAAGUAUAUCAUUACUGAACCUGAAUAUCCUUACUUUUUCAUAAGAUACAUGAAAAGAAAGAAGGAGAGAAGGAAGAAAGGAGGGCGGAAGGAAAGGAAGAAGGGAGAGAAGAAGAGAAGAAAGAAGCAGAGAAAGGAAGAGAAAAGAAAUUACGGCCAGUGCGGUGGCUCACGCCUGUAAUCCUAGCACUUUGGGAGGCCUAAGCGGGCUGAUCACCUGAGGUCAGGAGUUCGUAAGCCAGCCUGGCCAACAUGGUGAAACCCUAUCUCUACUAAAAAUACAAAAAUCAGCAGGGCAUGGUGGUGCGUGCCUGUAAUCCCAGCUACCUGGGAGGCUGAGGUAGGAGAAUCGCUGGAACCCGAGAGGCGGAGGCUGCAGUGAGUUGAGAUCAUGUCACUGCACUCCAGGCUGGGCAACAGAGUGAGACUCUGUCUCA